rnacentral:rRNA from 1 species
GUCUAUAGCCAUGCCACCUUGAACAAGCCCGAUUUCCUCUGAUUUCAGAGGCUAAGCAGGGUCGGGCCUGAUUAAUACUUGGAUGGGAGACCACCUAGGAAGACCAGGUGCUGUAGGUG